rnacentral:rRNA from 1 species
ACAGCAGUAGCCGCGGUAAUACGAAGGGGGCUAGCGUUGCUCGGAAUCACUGGGCGUAAAGGGUGCGUAGGCGGGUUUUUAAGUCAGAGGUGAAAUCCUGGAGCUCAACUCCAGAACUGCCUUUGAUACUGAAAGUCUUGAGUAUGGGAGAGGUGAGUGGAACUGCGAGUGUAGAGGUGAAAUUCGUAGAUAUUCGGAAGAACACCAGUGGCGAAGGCGGCUUACUGGCUCAUACUGGACGCUGAGGUGCGAAAGCGUGGGGAGCAAACAGGAUUAGAUACCCCUGUAGUCCCUGUCUCUUAUAC